UAAUCUGCCCUUCAGGGGAGAACAACUCAUCGAAAGGUGAGCUAAAUCUCCGUAAAGUUUAACCAUGGCAUCAUGGAUUAACCAAGUUUUCUGAGGGAUGAGCCUGCGUCUGAUUAGCUAGUUGGUGAGGUAACGGCUCACCAAGGCUACGAUCAGUAGCUGGUCUGAGAGGAUGAUCAGCCACAUUGGGACUGAGACACGGCCCAG
rnacentral:rRNA from 1 species